rnacentral:rRNA from 1 species
AGCGAGAAGCCCGCAAGGGUGAGUAAAGCGGCGCACGGGUGAGUAACACGUGGGUAAUCUUCCUUGGAGCCCGGAAUAACUCCCCGAAAGGGGUGCUAAUGCCGGAUGAGACCACGGGAUCUCCGGAUCCUGAGGGAAAAGGCGGCCUCUGUACACAAGCUGUCACUCCAAGAUGAGCCCGCGGCCCAUCAGCUAGUUGGCGGGGUAAUGGCCCACCAAGGCAUCGACGGGUAGCUGGUCUGAGAGGACGAUCAGCCACACUGGAACUGAGACACGGUCCAGACUCCUACGGGAGGCAGCAGUGGGGAAUUUUGCGCAAUGGGCGAAAGCCUGACGCAGCAACGCCGCGUGUGUGAUGAAGGUCUUCGGAUCGUAAAGCACUGUCGGGAGGGACGAAUAAGGCGGCGGCUAAUAUCCGCAGCCGAUGACGGUACCUCCAAAGGAAGCACCGGCUAACUCUGUGCCAGCAGCCGCGGUAAUACAGAGGGUGCAAGCGUUGUUCGGAAUUAUUGGGCGUAAAGCGCGUGUAGGCGGCCUUGCAAGUUGGGUGUGAAAGCCCUCGGCUUAACCGAGGAAGUGCGCCCAAAACUACAGGGCUUGAGUACCGGAGAGGGUGGCGGAAUUCCCGGUGUAGAGGUGAAAUUCGUAGAUAUCGGGAGGAACACCAGUGGCGAAGGCGGCCACCUGGACGGAUACUGACGCUGAGACGCGAAAGCGUGGGUAGCAAACAGGAUUAGAUACCCUGGUAGUCCACGCUGUAAACGAUGAGCGCUAGGUGUUGUGGGUGUUGACCCCCGCAGUGCCGCAGCUAACGCAUUA